rnacentral:lncRNA from 1 species
UGUAAUUAAAGUCAUGUAGCAGUUUUCUAUAAUCAUCAUAUAUAUACUACUAUAAUUAAAUUUAGUUAAAGUUUUAUCUGCUAGAAAUCAUAUAUAUGUCAAUGAUUCAAGAAUUAGUUUCUACUUUUCCUACCGUAAAAAAAUUCUAUAUAUUCGACAAAAAAAAAAAAAAAACAAUCCUUAAAAAACAAAGUAUCAUAGUAUCAAAGGUACACUGACCAUGUCUAACUUACAAGGCCAGGUCAUGACGCAUGAACAAAAGUAAAUUUAUGAUCGAGUUAAUAUCGUUUUUUUUUUUUUUUUUUUAAAUAUGUGCACAAACACGUCUUUUAUAUCACGAUGAUUUGUGUCAUUGUAAAAGAUGUUUACGAAGUGUUCUUUGGGUUUUAGCCAAAA